rnacentral:rRNA from 1 species
ACAUGCCUACAACAUAGCGUUAAUGCAUCGGAUUCCAUUAGAACUUUGUAGUUAAGUGCACUCAUGCUAGAGUAGUAUUGGGAUGGGUGACCGCCUGAGAAGUCCUAGUAUUUCACAUGCA